rnacentral:rRNA from 1 species
CCUACGGGAGGCAGCAGUGGGGAAUAUUGGUCAAUGGGCGCAAGCCUGACCCAGCAACGCCGCGUGAAGGAAGAAGGCUUUCGGGUUGUAAACUUCUUUUCUGAGGGACGAAGAAAGUGACGGUACCUCAGGAAUAAGCCACGGCUAACUACGUGCCAGCAGCCGCUGUAAUACGUAGGUGGCAAGCGUUAUCCGGAUUUAUUGGGUGUAAAGGGCGUGUAGGCGGGAAAGCAAGUCAGAUGUGAAAACUCAGGGCUCAACCCUGAGCCUGCAUUUGAAACUGUUGUUCUUGAGUGCUGGAGAGGCAAUCGGAAUUCCGUGUGUAGCGGUGAAAUGCGUAGAUAUAAGGAGGAACACCAGUGGCGAAGGCAGAUUGCUGGACAGUAACUGACGCUGAGGCGCGAAAGCGUGGGGAGCAAACAGGAUUAGAUACCCUAGUAGUC